CUUGAACGCACAUCUUGUGAUUGUAAUGAGAUAAAAUUACGAUAGUGCUUUUUAUAAACAAAUGUUAUGUUGAAAUGAGAUUAAAAGGUGUUUAAUAAGACUGAAUCAGCAAAAUGUAUCGGAAAAUUUUGUGGUGUUACGUAUUUUUAUUGACAUCAUUUGAUAUAUCUCCUUACUCGAAGUUGACAGCCCAGGGGAAGAGCCAUGGUGCUUCAGUGCAAGAUUCUAUCACAGAAGGGAUUGCAUUUCAAGAAUGGGGCGCAGACUCCAUGUCAGUGGACAGCAACGAGGCUGGCGAGGGCGUGGAAGGUGUGGCGCUCUGGCCACCAGCUUUACACUUCGGGCGCUCCGCCCUCGCAGAGCCGCACACACAAUUAGUUACGCUAACGAAUAUGGCAAACACAACGUUGCACCUCGCUUCUGUGGCGGGGACUACGCCGGACUUCCACGCUUCGUUCUUUGAUUCCAAGUCAGUACCACCUCAGGGCAAUACAAGCUUCAGUGUGGUGUACCUGGGGCGGCGGGAGGGCCUCGUCACAGCUCACCUUUACAUACAUACUUCGCUUGGAGUACACAAAUAUCCGGUGUCAGCGAUAGGCGUGGCCAGUGAAUAUGACGUUUGGCCACUUGUUGGAUUGCGUGUGCCUCACAAUGCAUCUGUCGAACCGGAGCUCACCUUGUAUAAUCCCACCGAUAAAAAUAUACAGGUGAGCGAAGUUUACUCGUCUGGCGGAUGGCUAGGUCUUCGCCUCGCUAGUGGGGAGUCCAGAGCCCCUCGCGAUAUCUGGACCAUCCCCCCCAGAGAAAGGCGGGCGCUCGUCCGAUUAAGGAUUUCUCCAACUCACAAACAGCCCUUGGCUGCGUAUGUGCGGAUCAAGGCGAACAUCCCGGGAGGUGGAUUAGUAGUGUGCGUGGAAGCCCGUAGUGCACCACCCGGGGAACACACACGACCGCUGCACUUGAGGCUUCGCCCACGGGGCUCCAAUGACCCUGAGCAUUCUGUGUUCGUGGAAGCGGCGAACAGUGCAGCAUCUGGCGUGAGGCUAGACGCAGCUCUAGACGCGGCCAGCUGCUGGAGAACCGCACCAGCACCUCCGCCGCCUUGUGCGCAUGCGCAUGUCGCUAAUGGUGGAGCAGACGUCCAUAGUGGAGCACACUUGACAGUGCUCAAGUCACAUUUGGAGCCGUUUGAGGACUUCACCAGAGUCGCGAAACUCACAUUUAACUAUGCAGAGCUUUGGGCGUUGUCCCGCCAGAAGGUGGACGAGCAAAGCAACGGCGAGAGCAAAGAGGGCGUGGCCUGGUGCGGGGGCUGCGUGCGCCUGGGCAAGGCCUCCGUGCCAUACAGCCUCACGCUCUUGCCCGGGACGCUCGCCUUUCAACCGGAUACGCUCGAUAUAAUAACGUCUGAUGAGAAGACAGCGUUCAAAGAGCGUGAAGUCUUCGCCCACAAUCAGUUUGAGGCGCCGAUUCGUAUCACUGCGGUGCAUCUGCCUGACGAGGUGUUGCCAUUUUUUGAGGUUAAAGGAAACACGCCCCUGGUGCUAAACCCGGGCGACUUGGGCUCGCUCCUCACGCUGCGUCUCCAUACGUUGCCGGAUACGAUUGACACGCGUAUAACAGUACACACGAAUCUCUCGCAGUAUCAUAUACCGCUGCGGCUUUAUAAUGGCAAUUUUUCAUUUGAAUGGGAUUGGCCCAAUUCGGAUGGAAAUUUGGACUUGGGCGUGGUCGGUACGUCGACGACGUGGCGCGUAGGUCUGCGCCUGCGCAACCGCGCCUGCGUCGAACUGUGCGUCACCGGCCUAAGUGCCACGUUGCCGGGGGCCUCUGCCACGCUCACUAAUGCUGCACCGCAAUGCGUCCCGCCCUACGGCUGGUCGAAAGCCUGGUUGCGUGUGGUAGCACCAGCCCGAGAAGGCGUUGUGGUGGGUUCGAUUCGUGCUCAAACAGCGUACGCGUUCACGCACGCGACGCUGACGCUACGAGCGCACAGCGGACGACUUGCGGCCAUAUCGCCAGUGUUGCCAGCUGCCGCACCUUACGCGGGUGCGGUGGCGCCUCUUGUCGUAGACAGCACGAUGUCUCUUUGGAUGAGGGUUACAGGGGUGUCAUACGUCGACACACACACACAGGACGCACUCAAAUUUGUCCCACUGGACAGCACAGAGGUUGGACCAGGUCGACAUACUGUGGGACACAUUCAUUAUGAACCUGAGAAACUGUGCGAACCCAAUUGCUAUACGGGACUGCCUUUGGACUCUUCGGCUGGUCUGUUGUGGCUGGAGAGAUCCAAGGGAAACAACUGGGCGGACACAAUCCGUGCAGACAUACAUGCGUUGCAGACACGCCUGGAACAAUUUGGGAAUAGUUUGACUCACACAAAUUACUCUAUAUAUCUACAUACGACACAGGUGAUACAAACACCUGUCGACGUCAUGAUAGAACAUACGUGGCCACGCCUUAUCGUUAGCAGUGGUGUUGUCGACCCCAAUGCUACAAGCUCCCUUAAAAAUGGAGAAAGUGGGGUAAAUGGAGCAAGUGAGGCUAAGGAGUUGGGGGGCGUGGGUCUGGUCCCUGUUGGGGGGCGGGGGCUCGUGUGGCUGCGCGUUCGCAAUCCUUCGAGUAAACCGAUUUUGGUGCAGCCCGCCUUGGCCCCUACGAUCACUGACGGCUUGCCUAAAGAGGCGGGCGGUGAAUCGAGCUGGUGUAAAUCUACCUCCUGUGUCUGGUCGGACUCCUUCUCAAUAGAGGAGUGGAGGGGGGUGAAGGGGGAGGCGAGGUCGUGGGAGGGGGACGUGGUGUGGCUCGAGCCGCGGGCGGAGGUGGACGUGCGUGUGAACUUCACACCUAAGCAGGCUGCCAGUUUGACUACGUAUUUGUAUUUAAGAAAUAAUUUGACGAUAUUAGAAGGAGUACAGUUGAACGGUGUGGGGGCGGUGCCGAGCUUUGAUUUGGGCGGAAGGCGACCUGGACCAUCCUCCAUAUUUCAUUUUGAGGUGGAAGAGUGUGUGUCGAGCACCCGUUCCGCUGUAGUGCGACGACGCAUAGUUGCUCGUAACACUGGUAGAGUUUCCAUCCACCUACACGGGUGGGACAUUUCUCGCCAAGGGUGCCGCGGACGGGGCUUCCGCGUCUACCCCUGUGCCCCCUUAACCCUCGCCCCCAAUCAGACCGCCCCCAUACACCUCGCGUUCACCCCGGACUACACCCUUUCCCGCCAAUCCGCAAAGCUCCGGCUCCUUUCCGACCUAGGUCCCGUCGAGUACACCCUACUGGCCACCGUUCCCGUCAAACUCCUGACCCGCUGCGCCCCCACGUUCCCGAAACACCCAUGGGACGCCCCAAUCCGGAACUUCGUCAAUACACUCACAUUUAUAAUACUUGCCGUUCUCCUAUUCACCGCCGUGUACGACUCCGAGCGACUCCUGCGCAGGGCGAGAUCCACCCGAGCGCCAUCUAUCCGCCCCCCCUUAGAUCUGCGAGAAAUCGCGGCGACCACCACGGUCACCCAACCGCCACCCCCCAGAGCCCCUCCCUCGAGGCGAAAGCGCCCCACCAGAAGAACAGACCCACGCGCAGAAAGGAUAGCCUUCGAAAGAUGGCGCACGGAAGUUCUGAGACGCACAGACGACGAUUCCUCCCGAUCCAGUGAGGAUCUGGAGGAGAAAGAAAAGAAGGAAGAGGUGGUCGAAAAGGAGCCAGAGAAACCGGAGGAGAUAGAGGCGUCCAGCGCGUCCGACGAAUCCACUCAGGUGGACGAGCAGGACAACGAUGAAGCUUAUACGGCAGAUGCGGAAUUGGACGCGCGCGACUCGCCCGAAGAAACCAUAGUGGAGCCAAAAAUAAGCCCCAUCAGGACGCAAUCUCCUCCCAAGGUUCAAGUUGCCCGACGCUCCCCUAACAAUCGGCGGGAGAGGCGAAACGACGAGACUGUCAGGAAGAACACUCGGCCACAUGUGAGGAAGGAAAAACGCCGAGCGCAGCGGGCUGCAACUCCCCCGAGGUCCGUCGCCGUGAAGGAGAACGUUGAACCGGGAGAGAUUGGGGAAAGCAGGGGCAAUGUCCGCUGGGGGGCGUCGUGGAGCUCGGUCGUCGCGGGGCCCCCGCUUGCCCCCAUCGGGUCGGACGUCCGUAGGCGGGAGAAUAAUACUGAUAACUCCCUGUUUUAUUAUAAUGGAGCACCGGAGCCGCCGAGGCCGGAGCCCGAGUUCGCCUGGAGGCCUGCGAUCGGAACACCUGAGCGGUUGCCGUUUACGCCGUCCACGUCUGCUAGAGAUUUCCUUGACGAGACCCCAACAUUCAACAAUAUAGGGUCCGUAUGGGGGGCAAACAAUGCUUGGUGUUGGGGUGGCGCCCCCAUGCGUCCGCCCCCCGGCUUCGCCCAACAGGCCCCUCGCCCCUAUGACCCGUUCCGUUCUUUGGCUUCCAUUUGGGCCCCUGCCCCCCACGAUUGGCACAUCAAUCCCCCCAACGAUGAUGAACAGAACAACUAAAUUAUCGUUUAUAGUCAGUUAUAUCUAAGUAACUUAAAACUUAUUAACUAAAUGUCGACUUUUGCAUACUUAAAGGGGAAUCCCAUCGUACCCCAAGAAUAAGUCGUGCCAAAGAAUAAGUCGUGCCCCAAAAAUAAAUCGUGCCCUUAAGAAUAAAUCAUGCCCUUAAGAAUGAUCAUGCCCCAAAUAUAAAGCAAGUACCAGAUCAAACCCGAUAUAUAUAUAUAUUCUGUGGAAACGAAAUAUUCAUCUGUUGUUGACUGCAAACAUUGCACAGAUUAUGCUAAAAAUAAAGUUGUCAAAAUAAGUUAUAACGUUACUGAGAUACUAACUGCUAUAAACGGUACUACGGUUAUACGGCAAUGUAAGAUAAAUGUAAUUUUAAGAUAAGUAAAAAAGAAACUCAACCACUAUUUGAAUUGCCAUUAUAAUCGUGUCCUUGUAAAAUAUAGCUUAAUUUGUGUUAAAUCCUGAGUAAAAUUGAUCACUGGUUGGUCACAGAUAAUAACAACGGAUAGAUUAUUUACUGAACUAAAUGUCAAAACAUGUUUAUGAAAGUCUGACAAACAACGCAUCACACACAGACGAUACCUUUCAGCUGUCAAUUUGACAUUGACGUAUACAAAAAUUAUGCUGUCGUUAAGUUUCCGUAAGGUUUUAGUUUCAAGCUAUAUUUUACAAGGUAAGGUGACCUCGCUUUUACAAUGGACUCUGAUAUUAAAGUUUAUUAAAUGUUGUAACAGAAGAUGUGUUUGGUGAUGUCUAGUCAUGGUUUCACAUCACCGGGCCAUUAUCAAAUGUGAACAAACCGAUGUAAUAUGUCCGUUCUCGAAUGAAGUUUGACAAUUGACUUUUAGAAAUUGGCGGGAAAAACUGAUUGGGAAAUAUAAACUCAGCUUGUGUUUGAAAUAUUUUUACCGAUAAAUCGAAUUGUUAAACGCAUCUCGAAAUUUUACCGCGAACUAGACAAGAUGGCGGAUUUUGAUCAGCUGUUUAUUUAAAGUAAUAUAACAAUUUUUUUUAAAAACGUGAUUUAAUGAUUGUCUGAGACAAUUAUUUUAGUUAAUUAGGAGGCACACGAUACGAUUUCAUCGGUAAGAACUUUUAAACUUGUUAAAUAACAUUUUUCAUUUACCAUUCGCAAUCACUACGUGUCGUUUUGUUUAGGAUUCAUAUAUGGAAACUUUCUAAAAUCUUUUAGAAGACUUCUUUCAAGAAACCGACAUAAAAUACAGUGAAAUGACAAGUCAUGUGUAAUUUGUUCCAUAGAUAUUGUUUUUGUAAUUGAACAAACUUAUUGUUACAGAUUGUAUGUUACAACUAAAAUAAACUUUGCUACAAAUGAAGUUUUUUUAAUGGCUCCACAGAUAAUACUCAUGUCGUGACCGUAUUUCAAAACGUCAACAAGUCAAAAAUUCAUUGCAAUUGAUUCUCUGAAAAAUUCUAAAUUUAAAAUAUUUGGAAUUUUGACAAUUCAAAACAAACCUUCCCAACAUCAAUCCUUUUGAUUUAAAUCAAGAGGUAUAAAAUUAAUUCAUGUUUCGUAUAGUCACAAUUUAGACUAGGUAUAUAUUUUUAUAUUAUACAGCCAUUUCUAUUCCGUGUAAGCUGUCUAACGUGAUAAAAUAGGAAGAAACUUACUAACAUUGCUAGUUUAUUAAUUUAUUUUGAUAGGACGCCAUAUUGAAAGCGUCUUGUGUUAAAAUGGCGCCAAUGAUAGAUUAAAGGAUUACGAUUUUAUAUAACUGUAGUCUGUGACUUGUAUACGUUUUGAAGUACGAGCCUUAUACCUAUUUGCACUAAAUAUUGGGCAAAAUUUAAGGUUCCUAAUUAAGUUAAUUUAGGUUAAAUUAGUUUUAAAAUUUGUGUUUUUUUUCUUUUUUUUAUGUUCUUACUGUCAUAAUGGAUUUAGUGCAAAUGGGCGUGUGUUAGUAAUACCAUAACCGAAAGGCAAGAUGUUUUAAAAAACCGAGAAUUGUAAUUGCGUCAUUGCCUUGUCAAAUGUUUAACAAUGCAAAUUGAUAAGUCUUGCUUUUACGAUAAUGGACAUAUAUUGUUACCACGUAAUAGAUAAAUAGGAAAUGUUGUCACCACAAGCUAAACCAGAUUAAACUUCAUAGAUUUUGAUUUGGAGUCUACCCAUUACAUUGCCUCGUGGACGUACUAGGAAAAUAUCAGGCGCAAAAAAGGCCAAUAUACGUCGUUGGUGACCAAACGGUCGAACAUAGUAUAUGGAAAUACGAAGAAUACUUUUGACUUGACAGUGUAAUGUGGAGACUGCCCAAAUGUGAAAUUUGAAUUAAAGCGGCAAUAUUGGUUCCCAUUAAUUAGCCCAAAGGCACUUCCAAUCCUAUUUAUCAAUUCCGUAAAGCUCUACCAUGUCAAUGCGUCUGUCUCUGUAUGAAAAAUGUUAGAAUAUCCUGUCUUUUAACGUGCUUGCGAAAGCAUCGCUGGUCCAUAUAUAAUAUUGAGUUCAAUAUUAUACAGCCUUGACUAAUUUUUAUAUUAUGUUAUAAUUUCGUGACAUUUCAAGCCAACCACCAUAGACCACUUAGGUCAAUUGCGUGAUUGUUUCUAUUUUUUCUAAAAACAUUUUUCAGAUUGACAUUGACAUUAACAAUUAAUCCCUUCAAAUCUAUGGUAGUGCCACCGUCUAUUAACAAUAAUAUUAAUGUAACACUGAUUGGGUGGAAUUUGAGAGCUGCUUAGCUGAUAGUAGAAUCUCACUUGGCGUAUGAACUCAGCCGGAGCCGAGAGGUCUAACCGAGCGCUCUCACGCGAGCCCCCCGCCCGAACGUGAAGAACCCGAGAUGCUGCAGGGUUUUCCUGGAUAUCCUUCCAUUGAUGACAAUGUAGCACCGUACAAUCAAUUGAAGAUCUUAUUAAGAAU